rnacentral:rRNA from 1 species
CUUGACACUGAACAUUGAGCCUUGAUGUGUAGGAUAGGUGGGAGGCUUUGAAGUGUGGACGCCAGUCUGCAUGGAGCCGACCUUGAAAUACCACCCUUUAAUGUUUGAUGUUCUAACGUUGACCCGUGAUCCGGGUUGCGGACAGUGUCUGGUGGGUAGUUUGACUGGGGCGGUCUCCUCCUAAAGAGUAACGGAGGAGCACGAAGGUUGGCUAAUCCUGGUCGGACAUCAGGAGGUUAGUGCAAUGG